ACAAGCAGUGGGAGCCUCUUAAUGGGGUGACUGCGUACCUUUUGUAUAAUGGGUCAGCGACUUAUAUUCUGUAGCAAGGUUAACCGAAUAGGGGAGCCGAAGGGAAACCGAGUCUUAACUGGGCGUUAAGUUGCAGGGUAUAGACCCGAAACCCGGUGAUCUAGCCAUGGGCAGGUUGAAGGUUGGGUAACACUAACUGGAGGACCGAACCGACUAAUGUUGAAAAAUUAGCGGAUGACUUGUGGCUGGGGGUGAAAGGCCAAUCAAACCGGGAGAUAGCUGGUUCUCCCCGAAAGCUAUUUAGGUAGCGCCUCGUGAAUUCAUCUCCGGGGGUAGAGCACUGUUUCGGCAAGGGGGUCAUCCCGACUUACCAACCCGAUGCAAACUGCGAAUACCGGAGAAUGUUAUCACGGGAGACACACGGCGGGUGCUAACGUCCGUCGUGAAGAGGGAAACAACCCAGACCGCCAGCUAAGGUCCCAAAGUCAUGGUUAAGUGGGAAACGAUGUGGGAAGGCCCAGACAGCCAGGAUGUUGGCUUAGAAGCAGCCAUCAUUUAAAGAAAGCGUAAUAGCUCACUGGUCGAGUCGGCCUGCGCGGAAGAUGUAACGGGGCUAAACCAUG
rnacentral:rRNA from 1 species